UAACCACCUUGUCUCUCCUAGUUUGGGC
rnacentral:piRNA from 1 species